AUUGAACGCUGGCGGCAGGCCUAACACAUGCAAGUCGAGCGGAUGAAGGGAGCUUGCUCCUGGAUUCAGCGGCGGACGGGUGAGUAAUGCCUAGGAAUCUGCCUGGUAGUGGGGGAUAACGUCCGGAAACGGGCGCUAAUACCGCAUACGUCCUGAGGGAGAAAGUGGGGGAUCUUCGGACCUCACGCUAUCAGAUGAGCCUAGGUCGGAUUAGCUGGUUGGUGGGGUAAAGGCCUACCAAGGCGACGAUCCGUAACUGGUCUGAGAGGAUGAUCAGUCACACUGGAACUGAGACACGGUCCAGACUCCUACGGGAGGCAGCAGUGGGGAAUAUUGGACAAUGGGCGAAGGCCUGAUCCAGCCAUGCCGCGUGUGUGAAGAAGGUCUUCGGAUUGUAAAGCACUUUAAGUUGGGAGGAAGGGCAGUAAGUUAAUACCUUGCUGUUUUGACGUUACCAACAGAAUAAGCACCGGCUAACUUCGUG
rnacentral:rRNA from 1 species